GACACUGUUCCCUGUCCCAAAGAGGCUCACACUCUAGAAGGAGCACAAUGGAGACACCAGCUACAGCCAUUGGGCGAGAUGCUAUAUGUUCGUCUGAACAGGGACAAUGGCUAUCCCUCUGCUAAAUGUAAGACUAGAGCCAGCACUUGAAAAAGUCACUCUUUGUUCAGUGAACAGGAGCUGACUGAUGUAGCAGUGAUGUCACAGGCAGCAGUUUCCAUAGCCACACUUAUGAAACUCUCAGGUUUGCCUUGAGGAAGUGAAAUGGAUGUUGUUUAAAGCAUAAAAUCAAACCACUGGUCUUGGUGUUAUGCUUAGCUGCCUGUUGUGCAAAAGAAGUUUUAAUUUAAAAAUGAAGUCUUGCCAAAACCUGUCAUUUUAAAAUCAGCAUUUUCCUAUCUGAUGUGAAGUUUUGAAGCCAAAAUUCAUUUGUGUGCUGAAACUUGAAAUAUGAUGGAAUCUGAAUGAAGGAUUUUUCUGAUCGGUUCAGCAGAGCAAAGCCCAAGAGCACAUAUAUAAAGCAGAAAAGACCAUGAAGCAGAGGAGGAAAUAAUACAUCAGUUCUACACAGACCAAACCAAAUCCUGAAUGCAAGAAAGCCCACAGCAAAUCUCUCAUUGACAUCGGAGGGAAUAAGAGAAAGUCCCAUUAGUCUCAUCUUGAACUUUAUGCACACCAGUAAAGCAAAUAAUUCUGCUUCUUUUCUUUGUAACUCUUCUUUUCUGUUCUUUGUAUUAACUCCUUUACAUUAAAAAGAUGAAGUGA